rnacentral:rRNA from 1 species
AGUGAACGCUGGCGGUAGGCCUAACACAUGCAAGUCGAACGGCAGCACAGUAAGAGCUUGCUCUUACGGGUGGCGAGUGGCGGACGGGUGAGGAAUACAUCGGAAUCUACUUUUUCGUGGGGGAUAACGUAGGGAAACUUACGCUAAUACCGCAUACGACCUACGGGUGAAAGCAGGGGAUCUUCGGACCUUGCGCGAUUGAAUGAGCCGAUGUCGGAUUAGCUGGUUGGCGGGGUAAAGGCCCACCAAGGCGACGAUCCGUAGCUGGUCUGAGAGGAUGAUCAGCCACACUGGAACUGAGACACGGUCCAGACUCCUACGGGAGGCAGCAGUGGGGAAUAUUGGACAAUGGGCGCAAUCCUGAUCCAGCCAUACCGCGUGGGUGAAGAAGGCCUUCGGGUUGUAAAGCCCUUUUGUUGGGAAAGAAAAGCAGCAGGUUAAUACCCCGCUGUUCUGACGGUACCCAAAGAAUAAGCACCGGCUAACUUCGUG